GGGAAAAGAAGGAAGCGCACCAAAGUGCUCAUUAUUAAGCUGCUCAGCUGGUACUGGGUUGGGACCUGCGUUUUACUCUUACGUUCCUCCAGGAGCCAUAGGAGAAUCUGGGCAAGACACACAGAAGGGAAAUACCUCCUGGAGCUAUGGCUGACCUGAUUUGGGUGCCUUUCUGCCAAAAAACAGAGCAACACAGUUAAAUGUAGCUCCUACUCCGCUUAUUCUCUGCUUAUUUCAGACAAGCUUUGAGUUCUCUGGAAUAUCUGAGGGGAAGAAGUUUCAGUUCUGUCAAAUAUGUAACUUUCCACGCAGUAAGCUCCAAUGGACAUCUGGAACUCCUAAUAAUUUUAAGAUAGCAACUAGAACAUAUAUUCCUACUGCACAAACACCUGAGAAACAAAAGAACGCGUAAGAAUGAUCGUCCUUGAUCCAAGAGUUAAACAGGAUAUUGAGUGAGAAGAAAAGAAUUAAGUGCUGAUCCUGCAAUGAAAUGCAUUGAAACAAGUUUGCUGCAUGGGUCCAGAAAGAAUACGGUCUGCUCUCCCAAACUGGAUGUGAUUUCAUCGCGUUAAAUCAAAACCAGACAUUUAAUAGAAAAAGGAAGUUUUAGAAACAAAAAAAUAACUAGUUGUUAGUUUGCUAGAACAUUAGUAAGCUAAAAGCAUGAGGGUUUCUUUUUUGUGAAUUACCUUUGAAAAACAUGAAGAGAACUUAUUUUCUUAUUAAGUUUGUGAAUAUGUCAAAAAUAGGAUUUUAACAAUAGUUUUUAACUCCCAUGUCUGCAUCCACCCACCUUCCAUGCAUUCAUUCACUGAUUCAUAAUCAGCAUAUGUCCUUCCUUCCGGCCUCUUGGUAGGCUGGACAAGUAGAAUUGUGUGAGACUGGAAAACAAAACGAACACAAAAAUACAGGUCACUUGCACACUUUGACUGACUUUUGUUUGAAUUAAGUUAUUUAUAUGAAAGAAGGAGUAAAAAGAAGCAUAACAGUAAAAUACUAGAUUAGCAAUAAAGGACACUGACAUUUUCCACAUAGCAUUUACUAUUUAUAUAAGCUGUGUUAAAAAGUUUUGUUUCUAACAAGUCCUAUCAAUCCUUAUGGAACCUUAAAAUGUGUAAAAUCACCAGUAAAGCAGCUAUUGUGUUGAAAAAAACUACCACUGCAAUAGUUUCUAUUUAGACAGACAAGCAAAGCAAUAAAGUCCAAUGUGCAAGAGCUGUGGCAUUAGUGCAUUUGCUUUUUUUAUUCCAAAUGCAAGCUGUUAGUAAAAUUUUCAAUGCCCCAGUGAAAGAGCAAGGAGGGGACCCAACUUAACCACAUUGUCAGUCUCAUCUGAAGGAUUUUAACAAAUAACUGAUUUGUGUUAUCCAUUUAACUUCAAGGGAACACCAAUGAUACAAUAAAUCUGCACUUAGCACUCAAGAUUAUUUCUAGCAAAACAGAUGUACUGGUUUUUCACACUUCAGUGAGUUUACUUAAACAGUAAUUAUGGCACAGAAAAUGGUUCCAAAUGUUGGGGUCCAUAAGCUUGUUCUUCUGCAGGGAAGGCUUAGAUGAUUGUACACUCUGUGGCUUCCAUCAUUUCCAUAACAUUUUUCACUUGGCUACAGCAAGUAAUUUGAGCAAAGAAGCAAGAUUUUA